GAUGAACGCUGGCGGCGUGCCUAAUACAUGCAAGUCGAGCGAACGGACGAGAAGCUUGCUUCUCUGAUGCUAGCGGCGGACGGGUGAGUAACACGUGGAUAACCUACCUAUAAGACUGGGAUAACUUCGGGAAACCGUAGCUAAUACCGGAUAAUAUUUUGAACCGCAUGGUUCAAAAGUGAAAGACGGUCUUGCUGUCACUUAUAGAUGGAUCCGCGCUGCAUUAGCUAGUUGGUAAGGUAACGGCUUACCAAGGCAACGAUGCAUAGCCGACCUGAGAGGGUGAUCGGCCACACUGGAACUGGGACACGGUCCAGACUCCUACGGGAGGCAGCAGUAGGGAAUCUUCCGCAAUGGGCGAAAGCCUGACGGAGCAACGCCGCGUGAGUGAUGAAGGUCUUCGGAUCGUAAAACUCUGUUAUUAGGGAAGAACAUAUGUGUAAGUAACUGUGCACAUCUUGACGGUACCUAAUCAGAAAGCCACGGCUAACUACGUG
rnacentral:rRNA from 1 species